UACGUAGGGUGCGAGCGUUGUCCGGAAUCAUUGGGCGUAAAGCGCGCGUAGGUGGUCCGUAAGUCCGCUGUGAAAGUCAAAGGCUCAACCUUUGAAAGCCGGUGGAUACUGUGGGACUAGAGUACGGAAGAGGCGAGUGGAAUUCCUGGUGUAGCGGUGGAAUGCGCAGAUAUCAGGAGGAACACCAAUAGCGAAGGCAGCUCGCUGGGACGUUACUGACACUGAGGCGCGAAAGCGUGGGGAGCGAACAGG
rnacentral:rRNA from 1 species